rnacentral:rRNA from 1 species
GACGAACGCUGGCGGCGUGCUUAACACAUGCAAGUCGCACGAAGUGGCGAACGGGUGAGUAACGCGUAAUCAACCUGCCCUUCAGAGGGGGACAACAGUUGGAAACGACUGCUAAUACCGCAUACUGAAGGAGGGGAUUGCGUCUGAUUAGCUAGUUGGAGGGGUCACGGCCCACCAAGGCGAUGAUCAGUAGCCGGGCUGGGGGGAUGAACGGCCAAAUUGGGACUGAGACAAGGCCCAGGAUCCUACGGGAGGCAGCAGUGGGGAAUCUUUCGACAUGGACGAAAGUCUGACGGAGCAACGCCGCGUGAUGGAUGACGGCCUUCGGGUUGUAAAGCUCUGUUAAUCGGGACGCGGUACCGGAAUAGAAAGCCACGGCUAACUACGUGCCAGCAGCCGCGGUAAUUC